rnacentral:rRNA from 1 species
AUUGAACGCUGGCGGCAGGCUUAACACAUGCAAGUCGAGCGAGCGGCGGACGGGUGAGUAAUGUCUGGGAAACUGCCUGAUGGAGGGGGAUAACUAAUGGAAACGGUAGCUAAUACCGCAUACCAUCAGAUGUGCCCAGAUGGGAUUAGCUAGUAGGUGGGGUAAUGGCGCACCUAGGCGACGAGCCCUAGCUGGUCUGAGAGGAUGACCAGCCACACGGGAACUGAGACACGGCCCAGACCCCGACGGGAUGCAGCAUUGGGGAACAUUGCACAAGGGGCGCAAGCCUGAGGCAGCCAUGCCGCGUGUGUGAAGAAGGCCUUCGGGUUGUAAAGCACUUUCAGCGAGGAGGCGUUACUCGCAGAAGAAGCACCGGCUAACUCCGUGCCAGCAGCCGCGGUAAUAC